UACGUAGGGUGCAAGCGUUAAUCGGAAUUACUGGGCGUAAAGCGCGCGCAGGCGGUUAUGCAAGUCCGAUGUGAAAUGCCCGGGCUUAACCUGGGAACUGCAUUUGUGACUGCAUGGCUAGAGUUUGGCAGAGGGGGGUAGAAUUCCACGUGUAGCAGUGAAAUGCGUAGAUAUGUGGAGGAACACCGAUGGCGAAGGCAGCCCCCUGGGUCAAGACUGACGCUCAUGCACGAAAGCGUGGGGAGCAAACAGG
rnacentral:rRNA from 1 species